rnacentral:rRNA from 1 species
CACGUAGGGCGCAAGCGUUGUCCGGAAUUAUUGGGCGUAAAGAGCUCGUAGGUGGUUUGUUAAGUCUGAUGUGAAAUCCCCGGGCUCAACCCCGGGAACUGCGUCCGAUACUGGCAGGCUUGAAUCCGGGAGAGGGAUGCGGAAUUCCAGGUGUAGCGGUGAAAUGCGUAGAUAUCUGGAGGAACACCGGUGGCGAAGGCGCACC